rnacentral:rRNA from 1 species
UACGUAGGGGCGAGCGUUGUCCGGAAUUACUGGGCGUAAAGGGCGCGUAGGCGGCCCGUUAAGUCCGCUGUGAAAGACCGAGGCUCAACCUCGGGGUGUCAGCGGAGACUGUCGGGCUGGAGUCUCGGAGAGGGAUGCGGAAUUCCUGGUGUAGCGGUGGAAUGCGUAGAGAUCAGGAGGAACACCGAUGGCGAAGGCAGCAUCCUGGCCGAGUACUGACGCUGAGGCGCGAAAGCGUGGGAGCGAACGGG